rnacentral:rRNA from 1 species
GGAAGAAGGGGCGGUUAAAAAGUGGUAGCGGUUAAAACGCCCGGCCAGUGGCUGCCCUCCCCCCUCUCUUUCUCUCCUCCGCCCGCGCCCGGGGAACCAGCGACCGCUCCCCCUUCACCUGGCCUCCGGAUCCAGAGCGGAGUUCGUGUCCGGGCGCUAGGGAGACGACCGAUCCAGUCCAGGCGCGACGAUGGGGAAGGCGGCGGCGGUGGGCACGGCGGUGGUGGUGUGCGCGGCGGUCGGCACGGCCAUGGUGCUCGGCCGGCGCCGGCGCCGCAGGGACGCGGAGCUGCUCGGCGCGGCCGAGGCCGAGAGGAAGCGCAGGGUGGCGGCCGUCAUCGAGGACGUCGAGCGCACGCUCGCCACGCCCACGGCCCUGCUGCGGGGCAUCUCCGACGCGCUCGUCCUCGAGAUGGAGCGCGGCCUGCGCGGGGACAUCCACUCCCAGCUCAAGAUGCUCAUCAGCUACGUCGACCAGCUCCCCACCGGAGACGAACAUGGCUUGUUUUAUGCAUUGGAUCUUGGAGGUACCAACUUCCGUGUUCUGCGAGUCCAACUUGGAGGAAGGGAGAAACGUGUUGCCAAGCAACAGUAUCAGGAAGUCUCUAUUCCACCACACCUGAUGGUCGGAACUUCCUUGGAACUAUUUGAUUUCAUUGCUUCUGUAUUGGCCAAAUUUAUUGAAACUGAAGGUGACGAGUUCCACCUCCCAGUGGGGAGGCAGAGAGAGCUGGGUUUCACCUUUUCCUUUCCGGUAAACCAAUUAUCAAUAUCAUCAGGAACACUCAUCAAGUGGACAAAGGGCUUUUCAAUCAACGGCGCGGUUGGUGAGGAUGUUGUGGCUGAGUUGAGCAAGGCCAUGGAGAGGCAGGGGCUGGAUAUGAAAGUUUCAGCACUGGUUAAUGACACAGUCGGCACAUUGGCUGGUGGGAGAUAUAUGGAUAAUGAUGUGGUUGCUGCCAUAAUAUUGGGCACUGGUACAAAUGCAGCAUAUGUUGAGCAUGCUAAUGCAAUUCCUAAGUGGACUGGACUACUGCCGAAAUCCGGAAAUAUGGUAAUCAACACGGAAUGGGGAAGCUUUAAAUCGGACAAGCUUCCACUUUCAGAAUACGACAAAGCAUUGGACUUCGAAAGUUUGAACCCUGGAGAACAGAUAUAUGAAAAGUUGAUUUCCGGCAUGUAUCUUGGAGAGAUUGUGCGAAGAAUCUUACUGAAAUUGGCUCAUGAUGCUGCAUUAUUUGGGGAUGUUGUUCCAGCUAAGCUGGAACUGCCAUUCGUACUUAGGACCCCAGAUAUGUCUGCCAUGCACCAUGAUGCAUCACAUGACCUUAAAAUUCUGGGAAGUAAGCUAAAGGAUAUCGUUGGGGUUGCGGAUACUUCCCUGGAAGUAAGAUACAUUACUCGUCACAUAUGUGACAUCGUUGCAGAGCGCGGCGCACGCUUGGCCGCUGCUGGCAUAUAUGGCAUCCUGAAGAAGCUAGGCCGGGACAAGGUGCCAACCGACGGCAGCCCGAUGCCAAGGACCGUGGUUGCCUUGGACGGUGGGCUCUAUGAGCACUACAAGAAGUUCAGCAGCUGCUUAGAGGCAACUCUUUCAGAUCUCCUCGGGGACGAGGCCUCUUCUUCGCUGGUUGCCAAGCUGGCCAAUGACGGCUCUGGCAUUGGAGCUGCUCUCCUCGCCGCUUCGCACUCCCAGUACGCUGAUAUCUACUAGUCUUCUUGGUAACGAGCCCGAUGGAUGGAUUGAACCCAGAGUGUAGCAGCCUCUUCUCUUCCUUUUUUUUUUCUUUUCUUUUCCCUUCGAACCUUCCUAAUCGCCUGGUGGUGGAAUUUUACCUUCUUCGGCUAUUCUGCGGACACUCUCCGGUGCGUCUGCAGCGGGAUGUAGCUAGCAUAGCGCCAAAGAGCUUGGAGGUUUAUCUAAUGGCAUAAAAGUUUCAGUGGCAGGAACAUAUGGAGAUGGAGGUUUGGACAAUGCCAUUCCUGUUCUGCCGAUUCUUUUUCCCCUUGUCUGGUGGUGUUUUGUAAUCCAUAACAUUUUGUUAAUCCUUUUUUUUGUAUUUUCUCCUCCCAAUAAAGAUGAGGAUCGACAUCAUCCAAUUUAACCAUCUUUUUAUGUUGCCUGGUUUCUCCAGUAUAUACAUAUAUGUAUGUCUGAAUGCUCAUCUUUGUCUUCAGAAUAAUACUAGUUUUGUCUGAAUUUGAUGCACUUCAAGCAACUGCUCGUCUCAAGGCUGGCACACUGUGUACAACAUUCCACCAUUGUUAUCUGCUCUGCUCUGAAACUGCACUGUCUUACUACUUAGUUACUACUGAACCUUACAACGUCACUACGGCAUUUCGUCAGACGACAUCGUCGAAGCUACCCUUGCCGUCAGCGGCGUCGGAUAGCCGUUUCCGGCGGCUGCCCCCUCGCACUGCUGGCAGCAGCGGGGCGCCGUCGUACUCGGAGACGGCCGUCUUCUCGUCGAGGUUUUUCCGGUGCGCCUGCUCGCAUCGCAGCAGUAUCUGCAGCACGUCCUUCAUGGUCGGCCGCGUCGACGGCUGAGCGCCGGUGCAGAUGAUGCCGAGCUUGAACACGACAUCGAAGUCGUCACUUUGCCUGGCGUCGCCGAUGCACUCGUCCGCCGCGUCAGCGAUGCUCUUCCCGGACUGCAGGUGCCGCCACGCCCACUCCGCCAGCGAGCAGUGCUCGCCGCCGUUGCCGGCCUCCCUGCCGGUGGCCAGCUCCAGCAGCACCACCCCGAAGCUGUACACGUCCACCUUCUCGUUCGCCUUCCUCGUGUACCCGCACUCUGCAAUCAGACCACGGCGAACAAUAUGAGCCACCGAGCUGCAAGAAAUUUCGGCGUCGAGGAUUACUAUCAAGGUGAGGUGAUCGGUGCGUACCUGGAGCCAUGUAGCCGAAGGUUCCGGCGACGGCGGACACGGUGUCGUGCGGCGUCGUGCCGGCGGCCUCGGCGAGUAUCCUGGCGAGCCCGAAGUCGGCGACCUUGGCGUUGAGCUCCGCGUCGAGCAGGAUGUUGCUGCACUUGACGUCCCGGUGCACCACCGGCGGGGAGCACUCGUGGUGCAUGUAGCUCAGCCCCCGCGCCGCGCCCACGGCCACCCUCACCCUCGCCGGCCAGUUCAGCGGCGCUCGCCUGGCCGAGGGGGCCCUCGCCGGCAUCGAGCUCCCAGCCGGCGCCGGCCACCUGUGGCCGUGGAGCCACUUGUCCAGGCUGCCGUUGCCCAUGUACUCGUAGACGAGGAGCUUGGUCUCCGCGCGGGAGAGGCAGCACAGGAGCUUGACGAUGUUGGUGUGCCGGACGUGGCCGAGCACCUCCACCUCCGACUCGAACUCCCGCUCCAGCUUCCUCUCCACCUUCCCGCCGGUCCAGAUGCGCUUCACGGCCACCACCGUGCCGCCGCUCGCGCCGCUCCGGCUGGGGCACUCCACGCGGUACACCCGUCCCGACCCGCCCUUGCCGAUGAGGUUCUCGUCGACGAGCCCGCGCAGCACGGGGCCCUCGCCGAAGUCCAGCGGCUGGAAAGGGGUGAGCUUCCAGGCCUCUUCGGGCGGCGCGAGCCCCUUCCGCCUCUUCAUGUCGCGGACGAUGAAGAAGGCGAGCGCCGCGAUGACGACGAGUAGCGCGGCGGCAGCGGCGACAAGGCCGAUGCGGAGGCCUGGUGACACCUUGUCGGAUGACCGGGCUGCGCACGAGCCCACGCCGGCGAGGUUCCCCGACGACGCCGCGCCCGUGCAGAGCGCGCGGUUGCCCAGGAAGCUUCGGUCGUAGGCGGGGACAGCGAGCGCCUCCGGGACCUCGCCGGCGAGGUCAUUGGAUGACAGGUUUAGCUGGUUCAGCCUCAGCGAUCCCAGCGCUGGCGGGAUGCUGCCGGAGAGUUGGUUGGAUGAGAGGUCGAGCAGGGUGAGCACCGGCAUGGAGCCCAACCCCGCCGGUAUCUCGCCGGUGAGCUGGUUGUUGCUGAAGUUCAUCUGCGUCAGGCCACCGAGCGACGCGAUGCUCGCCGGGAUCGCGCCCGACAGCUGGUUGGACGACAGGAUGAACUCCUGCAGCAGCGGCAUGCCGGCGGUGAGCCCCGCGGGUAUCUCGCCGGAGAAGGAGUUGUUCCCGGCGUUGAACUUCUGCAGCUUAGCCGCCGACGACGGAAGGCUGCCUCUGAACUUGUUAUUCAUGAUGUAGAGCCUCGUCAUGUUCCAAAACAGCGUCUCUGGCAGGGUGCCGGUGAGCCCUCCAUUGUUCUGCAAAAGCAGAGUCAUCAGCUUCGUCUCCGUCCAGAGCGCGGCCGGCACCUCGCCGGAAAGCUUGUUGUCUUGGAGCUGCAGGCUUAUGAGCGCGGGGCACUUGGCGAGGCUGGCCGGGAUCGAGCCGUUCAGGCGGUUGCCGGAGGCGGUGAUGAUCCACAGCCGGCGGUUCUUGCAGACCCCCGCAGGUAUCGGCCCGGAGAGGUCGUUGUCGUCGACCUGGAUGUCUCUCAGCGACGGCGAGUGCAUCCCGAGCUCCGCCGGAAGCGCCCCCGUGAGUUUGUUCUCAAACAGCCACAGGAACACCAGCGACGGUAGCUGGGCGAGGCUCGCCGGUAUCUCGCCGGAGAAGCCGUUGCCGCUCAAGCAUAAUUUGCUAAGCUUCGUCAAUGUUCCGAGGCUUUCCGGGAUCGCGCCGGUCAGCUUGUUGUAGGACAGGUCGAUCUCGAUUAGACCCGCCGCUCCGAUGGCGCCAUCGAUGACGACGCCACCGGUGAGGUUGUUAUAGUGUAAGUACAACAUCUGCAGCUUGGUGAGGUUCCAGAUCGACGGUGGAAUGUUCCCGGUGAACGCGUUGGUCGACAGGUCAAGCCACACCAACUCCGACAGCUCCGGGAGGUAGCUCGGGAACUCGCCGGUGAGGUUGCAUCCGGCUAGCCAGACAGUGGCCAGCUUCGCCAAGUUCUUGAACGACUCCGGCAGCUUGCCGGGGCCGAAAUGGUUGUGCUCGAGCUUGAGCGUCUGGAGGCCAGUCAGCUCCCCGAGCUCCGGCGGGAUGGUGCCGGUGAGCUGGUUGCUGUCGAGAGCGAGGACCGUCAGGUUCUUGAGCUUGGACAGCGCGGGCGGCACCUCGCCGGUGAAGCCGUUGCCGUUCAGGGCCAGGUAGGUGAGGUUCCCCCCGAGGCGGCCGAUGUCUGCGGGGAGGUUGCCCGCGAGUUUGUUCAUCGAGAGGUCGAGGUGCGUGAGGCCCGUGCAGUUGUAGAGGGACUCCGGGAAGCCGCCGCUGACGCUGGUGUUGCUGAGGUCGAGCGUGGCGAGGCCGGUGAGCCGGCCGAUGGCGUCGGGGACGGGGCCGGAGACGGUGACGUUCGACAGGGCGAGGGAGGUCACCCGGCCGGCGCCGUCGCAGGAGACGUGGGCCCAGCCGGUGCAGGGCGAGCCCGUGGCCGCCGACCACGACGCGAGCUCCGGCGGGUCGCCCCACGCGCGCUUGACCUCGAGCAGGAGCUGCCGCUCGUCGGCCUGCUGCGCCGCGGCGUGGCGCAGGUGCAGGACGAGGCAGAGCGCGAGGAGUGGGAGAUAGGCGCGGUGUGGCGACGCCAUGGUCGCCGGUCGGUUUCCGGCCGCCGGAGCACGGAAGCGUGCGACCGUGCGUUCAGUUUGGUUGGCGGGAGCGGCCUGCCAUCGCUGACCCCGGUGUGGAAACGUGUGGCGCGUUAUGUAGUGGGAACUGGCCACGGCCGGUGUUUUUCCCCUUUUCUUUUUGUCCUUUUUAAUUCCUUUUUCAUUCUGUUGGAUAGUGUGCUCGUUGGGGUUGUCGGGUGGUGCUUGCUUGGAAGCUUCAAUCUUGGUUUCUACUUGGUUGUUUAAUUCGUGUUUGCUACAUGUGUUGUUAGUGUGGGGUUUAGGCAGGGCCAAAUUAAUUGGACCGAAGGGGACAUGUUCUAGAUGGUUAGUAUACCACGCGCCGCGAUGACCGUGCCGCCGGCCACCUCUGCCGAUGCCUCUCUUUCCCCACCCCACCCUUCUCGACGCCCCUCUCGUCUUACCGCCCUGCGCCGCUGGCCGAGAUUUUAGAAUGGGCCCGCCGAUAUCCAACUUCCUUGAGCCUAUGCACAUAUGCACCUCCGACCUCCCCUUCCUCGACUCCUCCAUACCCUGUGCCGCAACUCUUCACCAGCCGAGCUCUCCCCCUGUCGUCGGUCGCCGCUCCCUCCUCAAUGAAGGCGAGUGUCGCCUCCUGAGAGUACAACCGCGCCACUGCUACCGCAUCAUGUUUUUUUUCUUUCACAAAUUGAUCUUGUAGAUGAG